rnacentral:rRNA from 1 species
CCCAGACUCAUACGGGAGGCAGCAGUGGGGGAUAUUGCACAAUGGGGGGAACCCUGAUGCAGCGACGCCGCGUGGGUGAAGGAGCGUUUCGGCGCGUAAAGCCCUCUCGGCAGGGAAGAAGGAGGACGGUACCUGACUAAGAAGCCCCGGCUAACUACGUGCCAGCAGCCGCGGUAAUACGUAGGGGGCAAGCGUUAUCCGGAUUUACUGGGUGUAAAGGGGGCGCAGACGGCAGCGCAAGCCAGGAGUGAAAGCCCGGGGCCCAACCCCGGGACUGCUCUUGGAACUGCGCGGCUGGAGUGCAGGAGGGGCAGGCGGAAUUCCUGGUGUAGCGGUGAAAUGCGUAGAUAUCAGGAGGAACACCGGUGGCGAAGGCGGCCUGCUGGACUGCGACUGACGUUGAGGCCCGAAAGCGUGGGGAGCAAACAGGAUUAGAUACCCGCGUAA